GUUUAUUUUCGUAUCGGUGCCGCUUUUAAUGUACUUUAUAUGAAGCUUUAGUGUCAGAUAUAAUGUGUGCCAUGCACUCCAGAUGUUGGUGGAGUUUAUUUCAGUGUGUGUUGACCAGAGAAGAAAGUUAGCAUAGUAAAUAUUAGCUUUAAUGUUAGCAAUGCUAACCGAGCUAGCUGCUCAGUCGUAGCCUGAUUAAAGCUAACGUAGCAUCAAGCUAAUGUGUUGAGUUUCAUGUAAACAGCUGAAGCACACUUCCACUGUGUUCCUGUAAUGUGGUACAUUAAGUUCAUAAAACUGUGGCUGGUUGACAUUAAUGUAACGUUCAGGAAACGUAAAUGUGAUUAAAACUGUAACGUUAAUGUUCUAGUUGUCAGUAAUCAGCUUUAAUUUGACACUAAAACAGACUGAUAGGUUUAAAUGACAUCAGUUUCAUUAAUUUGUUGAAAAUGGACUAAUUUGUUGUGAUGUUGCUGCUGAUUCAUUAAAAGCAGAUGAUCCAUGUUGAAGAUACGUUUAUUUCUAGUAUCAGAAGUACAAGAAGGAAAAUGGAAGUUUAGUUCUGCUACAUCAAAGAUUUCAGGAUUAAAAUAACUAAAUGAGUCUUUAUGCCUCAAACUUUAUUUUUACAAUAAAGAAAUAAUGAAAUAAUCACAGAUAAUGAAAAUAUAAAUAGCAGAGAAAACCUGAGAGAAUAAUUUCCUGAAAAAUCUGUGAAGGAAAAGCAGCUUUUUUAUCCUGAAAGAUCAGAAUCAGCUCCAACAUCUGCAUCUGACAGCAUCAAGUCAACCAGAAAGAAAAGAAAAAAAGAAAAUGACUUCUUUCUGAUCACAUCUGUCCCGCUGCUCACAGUCUGCUGCUGCUCACAUUCUUCACAUUUAUAGUCCACUUUUAAAAGUUCAGCAGACAGGUGCUCUGCUUUGGAGUGUGACGAUGUUGUCGGUGAUGUGGAGAGUGAAGUUUCCGUUUCACCCACAGCGUGCUUUAGGGCAGCCAGGUCGGACUUGAUGUUUAAAAUACUGACCGACAGCUCAGAUUUAACUGUCUGUAAUUCUGUUUUGAUAGGUGUUAAACUUUCACUCAAAGCCGCCAGGAGCUGGGUCUUUAAAAUAACCGCCGUCUCGUUACAGAGUGAAAGUAGCAGUUCCUCCUUAAGGUCAGAGAUUGCAGCAUCUGAGGGCCUCUUCAAAAGAAGACGUAGUUGAUGAAGACGUUCUGGAGCAGGACCAGAAAGACCACGACCAAGCAGCCUUGAGAUCUUAGGCAGCGUCUCCCUCAGGUCCCUCUCUAUCUCCCCACACAUCCACCAACCACUGGAACACAUCUCCAAAGUUCUGCCGGACCAGCUCAGCUUCCGCUCAGAAGAAGUGCUGCCACCUGCCAGAUGAAGGAGCCUUUUGAGAGGCAGCUGGCAUCGUGAUUGGACUGUACUUUGGUCUGUUCCAAUCCAGCUUCAGCUCCAGAGACGGCAGGCGGGACGAGUCAACGGAGGCCGGGUGGACGAAGGCAUGCAGCUGAGUAUUCGAGUUUUUGACAUAGCAUACUAUGGCGUUUUUUUGCACCAAAAUUCAUGAUGAUUUUUUUUUUAAAAGAAAACCUUACCAUAGUGUUUUUGACGGCCUUCUUUAAAUUAUUUCAUCAUAUGGCACGUUUUUACAUGUUGAAAAAUGACAUUUUUCGACAUAGUAUACUAUGGCGUUUUUUCGCGCCAAAAUUCAUGAUGAUUUUUUUUUUUCAAAGAAAACCUUUCUGCAGUGUUUUUCACAGCCUGCUUUGCAUUAUUUCAUCUUAUGGCACGUUUUUUCAACAUGUUGAAAAAUCGCAUUUUUUUUCGACAUAGUAUAUGGCGUUUUUUGCACCAAAAUUCACGAUAAUUUUUUUUUCUUUCAAAGACAACCUUACCAUAGUGUUUUUCACGGCCUCCUUUACAUUAUUUCAUCAUAUGGCACGUUUUUACAUGUUGAAAAAUCACACUUUUUUUUGACAUAGUAUAUGGUGUUUUUUUGCACCAAAAUUCAUGAUGAUUUUUUUUUUUUUAAAGAAAACCUUACCAUAGUGUUUUUAACGGCCUCCUUUACAUUAUUUCAUCACAUGGCACGUUUUUACAACAUGUUGAAAAAUCGCGCUUUUUUUCGACAUAGUAUACUAUGGCAUUUUUUGCGCCAAAAUUCAUGAUGAGUUUUUUUUCAAAGAAAACCUUUCUGGAAAGAACAUCUUCAGGCUUCAAUUCCAGAUCUUCAGAAAACUGUCCCAGGAUCCUGUUGCAACUGCCAUGCCAUCAUCAGCAACGCAAAGGCAGCUAACACGGUUGUCAUGUCCAGUUAACACACCAGCAUGAUCACCUUUUACUGUGUCCCACAUGUUACAGUUGAAGUCAUCAUAUCCUGCCACUCUUUGAGAAUACAACAGAGGUGAUGCCACAUAUGAUGUUGUCAUGAGAGUAGAUCAUUAAUUCCUGAUCAGCACACAGAUCAAACAGCCUGCAGGUGGCAUCAUCAGAGCCACUUCUCUAAGUUCUUCUAAGUUUAACUCCAAGAUUUUAAAUACUUUCAUUUCCCACUAAUGAUUAUCUACUCCAAAUGUCUCACUAAUAAUCAUUAUCAG